rnacentral:rRNA from 1 species
UACGUAGGGGGCAAGCGUUGUCCGGAAUCAUUGGGCGUAAAGCGCGUGUAGGCGGCCAGAAAAGUCCGCUGUGAAAACUCGAGGCUCAACUUCGAGCUGUCGGUGGAAACUUUCUGGCUAGAGUCCGGAAGAGGAGAAUGGAAUUCCUGGUGUAGCGGUGAAAUGCGCAGAUAUCAGGAAGAACACCCGUGGCGAAAGCGGCUCACUGGGUCUUUGCUGACGCUGAGGCGCGAAAGCUAGGGGAGCGAACGGG